rnacentral:lncRNA from 1 species
CAAUAUAUAUACAUACGUAAGUAUAUCAAAGAUAUAUCGAUCCAUCGAUAUGGAUGCCAUGGAGUACCUACUCGUUAUUUUCCAGUUGUGAAUCCCCAACAGCCUGGUGUCAAUUUUUGUAAUAAGGGAUAGUAUUUUCCGGUAAUGAAUUAUAUUGUACUACUAUGUGAUGCAUAAUUUAAUCGUCAAAUGAUCGAAUACAUCGGAUAUUAUUUUAGUCAUAUUCAUCAUCAAGAGUUUACCUUCUGAUUUUUUGGCUUUGUCUUCCCUAUGGUGUGUGACACUGACUAAUUGUUUUUUCAGACAUUUUAUUGCCUCUCCAUUGCUACUAUUUUUAUCAGUAUUAUUUUAACCCAGUGAUUGAACUGUCAUCGGCUUUAUAUGCUACCCACCUUUUUCUACACAGCAUGUCCUUCUUCACCUUUAUUUAUACAAGGCAUUCUUUCAUUCCACUGCCAAGAUGACUAGAUGAGGAGAUUGGGAUUAUCCCUCUUUGUAUGUACCCAACUUGGAAUGAGAGACAUCAGGACAAGGCAAUAUGCAACUACUGUGCUGCCAAGAGAACAGUGCAAUAUUCCAUUUACCUUUAUCCUUUGCUCUUCUCCCUCCUUCAUCCCCUGCCGCCGCCAGCAAGUGCUAACGGGCAAAGACGGGUGGCAGAGCAGGGCGGUGGAGGCCCAAUCUGGCCGAUCCAGGUUUUUUUCUUUCGAAAAGGAGGCGUUGCCCCGGCCUCUGCAUCGAGUGAUGCAUACAACCAUUUUAUUGCGAAACGAAAUAGUCUGGAGCAAUACAAAAUAGCGAGAUAAUUCAAGAAACAAAAAAAGAUUUACAUGGCGCUCAGACCGCCGAAAAACCGACUAUAUCCCACGGAUAGGCUAGACUAAAGUCCAAUCCUAUUAGCAUGCCGCCAUCCAUAUCGGUUGAAGAUAAUCUGAGCUGCCAUCUCCCAUCGGACACACCCAGUAACCAAAGGCUCUCUGGUUUCCACAGGAGUGAGUAAGGACCACGUGCAGAUCAAGGCGGUAGCCCUGAAGAUGACCUGCAAAAAGUUAAUGUGAUGUAAUCUGUUAAAAACUAGAUCAUUUCUGCAGUUUCAUAUCGCCCACAACAUGGCACAAGUACCAAUCCGAAUUAGUUUGGCGUAAAAUACAUUAACCCCUUUUAGCCACGUCCCAAAUAACAUGUGAAUGCUAGUAGGUGGAGUAAUGUUGAAAGAAAUCUGUAAGGAGCGCCAUAAUAAUUUAGCCAUAAGGCAAUCCAGAAAGAGGUGUUUAAUCGUCUCAUGCGUCUGACAGAAGCUGCAUCUUUUAUUUCCUUUCCACUGUCUUUUAGCCAAGUUAUCCUUAGUUAAAACAACUCCCUUGUGAACAAACCACAUGAAGAUUUUUAUCUUAAGGGGAACCUUGACCUUCCAAAUAUGGAUGAACUUUGGAAUAGGCGACGUAUCAAUAAUAUGGUCGUACAUCGAUUUCACUAAGAAAGUACCAUUGGUAGUCAGCCUCCAACGAAUACUAUCUGGGAAAUCAGAAAGGGAAAUAUCCAUCAGUCUUCUGACUAGAUGUAACCAACUAACCCAUCUAUUUCCGAUCAAGGCUCUACGGAAUUGAAUGUUAAGAGGAGUGUGUCGUAACACUGCAGCAACGGAAGUCUGUUUUCGUUGUGCAAUAUUAUAUAGUUGCGGAUACUGUAGAGCCAAAGGAAGUGCGCCUAACUAAGUAUCUUCCCAGAAUCUAGUAAUUUCACCAUUACCAAUGACGAAUCUAGUUCUAUUAAAGAAAGCAGCCUUUGUCCUCAUUAAACCUUUCCAAAAAGGUGAAUCGGCCGGUCGCGCAGUGACUUGGGCUAAGGUUUUGUUCUGUAGAUACUUUUUCUUUAAAAUUUGUACCCACAUCCCUUGCGAUUCGACAAACAAUCUGAAUAGCCACUUGCUAAGCAGACAUCUGUUCUUGAGCUCUAGAUUUUCAAUCCCCAAACCUCCCUGAUCCUUGGGUCUACAAAUAAUAUCCCAUCUAGCCAGUCUAUAUUUAGUCUUGACCUCGUCGCUCUGCCAGAAAAAUCUAGAUCGAAAGAAAUCCAACCUUUUCCGCACCCCAACAGGCACUUGAAAAAAAAAUAGUAGAAACAUUGGCAUACUUGUCAACACUGAGUUAACAAGAACCAAUCGUCCUCCGUAGGAUAAUAGCUUGCCCUUCCAGCAGCUUAAUUUUUUCUCAAAACGAUCUUCGGUACAUCUCCACUCCUUGAUGGUCAACUUUCGGUAAUGAAUUGGGAUUCCUAAAUAUGAGAACGGUAACGUACCGCCCUCACAUCCAAAACUGAUCCAGGUGGGCCUUAAUGUUGGGAGCCGCCAAGGGGUGGGCGAGAUUGUGCCUUCACACUCAUUUCUUUGCAUGGUCGCCAUGCUGCAAGUCUUGAGCGAGGCAUCGUCAGGGUCUUGGAUGCAGAGGCGACAUCCUCGGUGGUGGCAGUCAUGGUGCUCGAUGAUUUGCUCGCGGGGCGGGUGUUGACUGGUUGCUAUGGCCAUGCCGAUAGUGUGGUAAAUAGUGUGCAACGGCAGGUGGCGGUGGUCCGGCGAGUAGUGGCUUGGUGUACUCCAUCUGGGAGACGAUGAGAGUUUGCUGAGGUGAAAACUCUAUCUGGCCUUGCCGUGUUGCGGUCAUCGGCGCCUAUGGGCGUUAUCUCGUUCUUCAAGGCAUCAUCGCAGUUCCUUUUCAUCCCCUUGCUGCUUCGGGAAAGUCCAAUCCUUGGACCGGGCGGUGGCAGCAGUCCGAUGUCAUACGGUUUCUGUAGGCGUCGGCUUCGAGAACCCACUUCAUCAUGCAUGGCUCUCUGUCCAGUGACUUGUUCAUGGUGGAUGGCCUCGGAGACUUCAAGUCAUGCCCUCUCAUCCUCUCUAUAGAUUGCUUGGAGAAGUAGGGUGCCAAGUAGCUGUUAUUAUCACCCUUGCAUAUUGCCUUGAGUGUGAUCAUGUGAUAUCGAGUAGUUUGUGUUGAGUUAUAUGUUAAUUAGGUCGUUGAUUUUUAUAUAAAGCAGGGCGCACACCUUUUUUAUGUAGAAACACCCGCAAUUUGUUUGCAAAGACCACCAUCUUACACGCAUGGUAGUGGGAUGACGGCUUAUUAGAUGGUGGUUUGUUAGUGUAUGUAUUAUGUGGUUAAAUCUCCGUGUCGGUUCUCAAGUGCCUUGUGAUGUCUUCUUUUUUGUAGAAGUAUGUCAUCUUUCUUUUUUAGGGUUGGCUUUGUCAUCAUCGGCUCAUGAGUGACCACUCUUUUAUAAAAGUGUAGCCUAGGAGUUCCGGGUUGGUCUUCAGAUUUUGCAGGCCCGGUGCAAAACUAGAUCCUAAUCCCUAGGGCCUUAACAUAAACAUAAAAAAAUAUGAGAAAAUAUGUUGAAUUGUCAGCCAAAGAAAAUUUGUUUUUUUUCUCUUAUAAAUCUCUAUCUUUACUAAUAUAUGCAAUUAAGAUUAACCUAAUUUUUGGAUCACAGUUUAGAAGUUGUUUAUUUUUUGUUUUGAGUUUAUCUUUACCACAGUAUUAGUGGUUGUUUGGUGGACUUACUGUCGCGAGACAUGUGGCCUCAGAUUCCUGUUUUUUUUUUCUGGAUCGAUGUUCUACAACUGUUGGAUUUGAAUAAUAAAUAAUCUAGGUCAUAUGAUAUCCUUCUUUAAUUUGAUGGCAAACACCCAAAUUAUGUUCUGUUCGAUAUUCAAAUUCAUCUUUAAUUUGAUGCUAGCCUUCGCGCCAUGGCACAAGGCCAUUCUAGUUGGCCCACGUCAACCCAAGUCCAUCCCAGCCAAUAUGACGGCAACAGGAGAAACCAAAACGACACUAUUUUUUUUUUGAACGGAGGCAAAAGAUUGGCCUCUUGCAUUAAUCAAGAAGAAAGUAGCAUAGAAUAGCGAUUACAUGGCCACACAGGCCAAGCUAAAAGACAGAAAUGACUUAUUCUCCUGGGAUAAUAAUCCCCAAAGACUUAGCGCCCGCUUUCGUCCAUAAUUUUGCGUCAGCCUUGAUGGUAGUCACCACAUGGGAAGGUAAGGAUGCCUUGUUCUGAAAAACCCUAACAUUCCUCUCGUUCCAGAUCGCCCAACAGACAAGCAUCAUCAUAGAUUUGAAAGUCUUUUUGUGUGUGCCGAUGUGACCGUGAGCAUCCCAACAAUUGUUCAUAGACGAAAGAUCAGCCCAAACAUUGGUCUGCGAUUGCAAAAACCAAAACGACGCUAGUUCGGCAGUUCCCCGACGUUGGGCCUGGAUGCUUGUUGAGCACGGGAUACCAUGAUCAGUCCAAACCAUCAGCGCCUCAAGCACAGAUAAAACAAACAAGAAAACCUAAUCUACACGGCAAACGAAGAUGAAAAGAACACCAACAGUGCUAAUUAACCCCCAUCGACAAGAAGGAUAUAUUUUUCUGUGGAAUUUUUUGAGACAAUCUUCUAGGGAAAUUAUAGAUUUGAGAAAAAGGGGAAUUGGUAGAUGUGCAUGAAAGUGAGUCCCACACAAUCUCGUAUGAUUAUGGCCGACAUUUAUAGCCAAUCUAACCACUCUAAUCUUUGAUACGGAUGUUAGACAAGUAACCAGUAGUUUUCUUAUUUUUGACAUAAACAAGUAACCAGUAGUUCGUAGCACUCACAAGCUUGUGUGUGUGUCUCGAGUUCAUGUCAGUUUAUUCUUCUAUACUUAACAUUUACUAGUUUGCAACGAAUCACACUUUAUCUGUCUCUCUAUUUAGUCUGUUGUUCACGGGCCUGUUGAUACGAAUGAAGCAGAUGGUAGGUAAGAUGACUGCCACAUGACCCCUUAGGAAUACCAAUGCCGAUGAUAUUGUUCUUUGUUACUCUUUUGUUAAAAAAAUAUCCCUCUUUUCAUAUCUUCGCAAUAAACGUCGCAGGCUAGGCUGGUGACAUGUCUUAAAAACAAUGAACAACAGGCAGCGAGGCUUGACCGUACCUUUCUUUUCAAACNNNNNNNNNNNNNNNNNNNNNNNNNNNNNNNNNNNNNNNNNNNNNNNNNNNNNNNNNNNNNNNNNNNNNNNNNNNNNNNNNNNNNNNNNNNNNNNNNNNNNNNNNNNNNNNNNNNNNNNNNNNNNNNNNNNNUACCUUUCUUUUCAAACCAAAAUAAUAAUAACCGAGCUUUGCAACCGAAAUUGCAUGCAACCUAUAAAAGCAUCUUUAAUAGGCGUGCUUCGACCGGCGUCCAAAAAACAAAUUUGCAGCGCGCGGCUAGCCAUUUUUAGCGUGCCAACAAGCGCCGGCUUCAGCGGCCGCAUCAUAUUUUAGCGCCCACACGACGCNNNNNNNNNNNNNNNNNNNNNNNNNNNNNNNNNNNNNNNNNNNNNNNNNNNNNNNNNNNNNNNNNNNNNNNNNNNNNNNNNNNNNNNNNNNNNNNNNNNNNNNNNNNNNNNNNNNNNNNNNNNNNNNNNNNNNNNNNNNNNNCGACGCUCCAGCAGACGCUGCAAAUUUAAACGCAAAACUAGUCCAACCCGUUAAAAAUAUAUGCAUAGAUUUCAUACAUAGUUCAUCAUAUAGAUAAUAAUAAACUAGUCCAACACGAUAAUAUAGAUAAUAAAACUAGUCCAACAAGAUAAUAAACUACAUAGAUAGAUAAAACUACUCCGAGUCGUCACUGUGGAUGCUGCCCGAGGUAGAUAGCCAUGCGUCCUCCCAACGUUCAUCGUCAGAAGUGAAGAUGGACGUUCCACCGUUGUUGACGACCACACACUGCGAUAUAGCGAGUAACUUGCGUUGACGCCUCUCCUGCCGCUCCUCGCGACGGCUUGCCUUCCUCUCCGCCUAGAAGGCGUUCUCGGCGGCGACGUCCUCCAGGUGGCGUCGGUGCCACUCCGCCAUGGCUCGCACGUCCUCCUCGGCGACGAGGAGCCGGCGGUGCCGCCGACGGUGCUCGUCACAGUCCUGGUCUGUUAUCAGACCAGGCGGAGGGGCGAGCUCCUGCGGCUGCUCGUGCGUGUAGAUGCUACUGUAACAAAAGACCUUCCAAUGGCGCCAGAAAUAGUCGUGUUGACGGCACCAGGAAUCCUUCUGCUACGGCUACGUCCUAAGGGACUUCCUAGGCAAAUAUGCAAAGGAUUUCCCCCGUGGUCUUGGAGCCUUGCGUUGGUGUUCCCUNNNNNNNNNNNNNNNNNNNNNNNNNNNNNNNNNNNNNNNNNNNNNNNNNNNNNNNNNNNNNNNNNNNNNNNNNNNNNNNNNNNNNNNNNNNNNNNNNNNNNNNNNNNNNNNNNNNNNNNNNNNNNNNNNNNNNNNNNNNNNNNNNNNNNNNNNNNNNNNNNNNNNNNNNNNNNNNNNNNNNNNNNNNNNNNNNNNNNNNNNNNNNNNNNNNNNNNNNNNNNNNNNNNNNNNNNNNNNNNNNNNNNNNNNNNNNNNNNNNNNNNNNNNNNNNNNNNNNNNNNNNNNNNNNNNNNNNNNNNNNNNNNNNNNNNNNNNNNNNNNNNNNNNNNNNNNNNNNNNNNNNNNNNNNNNNNNNNNNNNNNNNNNNNNNNNNNNNNNNNNNNNNNNNNNNNNNNNNNNNNNNNNNNNNNNNNNNNNNNNNNNNNNNNNNNNNNNNNNNNNNNNNCUGUCGAGCAAUUGAUAAAACCGCGCAAAGUCGUGACGUCAUCUAUGGCAAUGAUUAUAUCUAUAGGCAUCACGUCCAAAACAAGUAGACCGAUACUUUCUGCAUCUACUACUAUUACUCCACACGUCGACCGCUAUCCAGCAUGCAUCUAGUAUAUUAAGUCCAAAAGAACAGAGUAACGCCUUAAGCAAGAUGACAUGAUGUAGAUGGACAAUAUCAUAUCUACGACAGAACGCACCUUGUUACCCUUGAUGGCAACUACACGAUGUGUGCCUUGCUGCCCCUACUGUCACUGGGAAAGGUCACCACACGGUAAGAACCCAAAACCAAGCACUUCUCUCAUUGCAAGAAUCAUAGAUCUAGUUAGCCAAACAAAACCCAAGACUCGGAGAGACUUACAAGGAUAUCAAAUCAUGCAUAUAAGAAAUCAGCAAAGACUCAAAUAUAUAUCAUAGAUAAUCUGAUCACAAAUCAACAAUUCAUCGGAUCUCGACAAACACACCGCCAAAGAGGAUUACAUCGGAUAGAUCUCCAUGAAGAUCAUGGAGAACUUUGUAUUGAAGAUCCAAGAGAGAGAAGAAGCCAUCUAGCUACUAACUACGGACCCGUAGGUCUGAAGUGAACUACUCACGAGUCAUUGGAGGGGAGAUGAUGUUGAUGCAGAAGCCUUCCAACUCCAAAGUCCCCUCCGGCAGGGCACCGGGAAGGGUCUCCAGAUGAGAUCUCGCGGAAACGGAAGCUUGCGGCGGCGGAAAAGUAUUUUUUGAUGUAUUUUAGGAAAUAUAUAGGCGAAAGAUCUAGGUCAGGGGGCGCCAGGGAGGCCACAAGCCUGCCCACCGCCGCCCCCUGGUGGCGGAUGGGGGGCUUGUGGGCUCCCUGUAGCCCUCCUGGCUUGGCCCACAAGCCCCCUGAUCAUCUUCAGUUCGGGAAAAAAUCAUUUUGGGGAUUUUAUUCCGUUUGGACUCCGUUCCAAAAUCAGAUCUGAAAAGAACCAAAAACACAGAAAAAACACGAACUGGCACUUGACACUGAAUUAAUAAGUUAGUCCCAAAAAAGAUAUAAAAGGUACAUAAAACAUCCAAAGAUGACAAGAUAACAACAUAAAACCAUAAAAAAUUAUAGAUACGUUUGAGACGUAUCAGUAGACAUCCUGAAAGUUCAUCUGCGCACGAGGCCUCCCUAGGCGCCACGCCACCGCGUCGUACGCACGGGCGACCUCGUGUGAGGUUUCGAAGGUGCCGAGGCUGAGGCGGACGUCGCCAGACCUGAUCUCGGUGUAGUAGACGCCGGAGCGGCGCUCGCGGACGCCGCGGUAGCCCGAGGAUCCACGACGGAGCGGCGGCAUGGUGGGAGAGGGAGCGGCGGAGGGAGCGACGAGGGAGUGGAUCGGAAGCGGCACAGACAGCGGUAGAGGGCGCGUGACUAUGGGUAGCCGCGUGGCGAGCGCCGCAUUUUAUAGGCGCGCUGAAAGCGGUGCGCCAAAUCUAGCGCACGGCCGCCCGCUUUCUCUCGCACACGCAAUAGUUUACCGUGCGCGCUAUUUUCCCGCGUCCGCUUAAGGCGCGAUUUCAUGCCCCGCGCGCGUUUUUUAGCGCCACUGUUGGAGAUGCUCUAAGGCACUUGUCAUUGUAGUUAGGAGUAGCCAAAUAAUUUGUACUUUUUUUGGUAUAAGAGCAUCUCCAACCGCCGCGCUAAAACAACGACGCGCUGCAAAAUCGUCUUUUUAGCGCGCGCACAAUAAAAAAGUUGCUCCAGCAGAGGCUCCAAAACCGCGCGCCCUGCAAAACCAAUUCAGCGCGUGGGCUAAAAUGCCAUGGCGCGUCGUUUAUUUGCUGCGUCCGCGUAGGCGCGCCGCACACUCGAGCGCUCGCUCGCAGCUCCACCUACCCAUCGAGCCGAGGCGUCGCCGCAGCCCGCUCCAUCCCAUUUCUUCCGACGAUCGUUCCGGCGCUUCCCCGGCCUAUCCGUGCGCCGCCGCUGCUUCGUCCUUCUCUCUCUAGUCACCGCCGCCCCUCGCGCGCGGCAGUCGUCCGACGAACAGCGCCCGGGCGCCCGCAAGGUGUUCGACAAAAUGCCCGCAAGGUAUGUACUGGAUUCAACUACACAUUUUUUACAUAAAUUUUAUGCAUGUUGUUUGUAGUUUUAUAGCUUAGUUUAAAUUAAACAUUGUAGGUGAGUUCCUCAUAUGAUUCUUCCGAAGAAGAAUUUGAUGUGGAAGAGGAGGAGGAUCUUGCAAUGAUCCUAACUAGGCACAUAAAUAAAAAGCCGAAGCACGGUGGUUCGGUUAUGGGUCGGCAGAAAAUUUGGAGGGAUAGGAUCGAUGCCCACAAUAGAUUGAUCAAGCACUAUUUUACAGAUAAUCCCGUGUAUCCCGAGUCGUACUUCCGACGUCGAUUUAGGAUGAGUACCGAGUUGUUUAGGUGCAUUGCAGAGAAACUAGCGAGCCAUGAUCGGUUUUUUCAACAAAGAAGAAAUGCCACCGGAGAGCUCAGGCAUAGCACCUUUCAGAAGGUGACAACCGCUUUACAUAUGUUGGCAUACGGUAUCCCCACUGAUCUAGUUGAUGAUCACUUGGCUAUGGGUGAGAGUCAAGCCAGCAUGCGUGUCAAGCGUUUCGCAGUCGGAAUUGUGCAAUUGUUUGGCAGGAGUAUUUGAGAUCUCCCAAUGCUGAAGGCGCUGCAAGGCUAUUGGAUAUGAACAAAGCUCGUGGUUUUCCAUGUAUACUUGUCUCAAUAGAGUGCAUGCAUUAGAGUUGAAAGAAUUAUCCUAAGGCAUGACAUGGGCAAUUCCACGGCCAAAAAAAGGGUUCCGCUAUAAUCCUUUAAGCGCUGACCGAUCAAGAGAUUUGGAUUUGGCAUGCGUUUUUUGGAAUGCGUGGAUCUUUGAAUGACAUCAACGUUGUCAACCGGUCACCACUGAUGAAUAAGAUUGUAAAUGGGGAACUGCCACCGGUGCAGUUUGUAGCAAAUGGUCGUACAUACAACUAUGGCUACUAUCUUGCGGACCACAUCUACCCAAAGUGGCAAACAUUUGUGAACCCGUUGAAAAAAUCGGAAGUAAGAAAAAUCUUGAUUUCCACAAUGCUCAGGCGGCGGCUAGAAAAGAUGUGGAGAGAGUUUUUGGGAUUUUGCAAGCCCAAUUUUUUAUUAUGAGAGGACCGGCUAGAUUUUGGGAUCAAAAGAUGCUUUGGUACAUCAUGUAUGCUUGUGUGAUCAUGCACAACAUGACCAUCGAGAAUGAGCGUGGCCAAGGUUUAGACUACUCUCAGUAUGAGCUCUUAGGACAUCCCGUGCGAGUGCGGCGGAGGGCUGAAAGGGUGGCCCGUUUUGUUGCCUCUUAUCAUGCCAUUCGGCGUCCCGAAACACAUGUUGAUCUUCAGAACGAUCUCAUCAAGGAAUGGUGGGCAUGGAAUGGCCGACAAAGAGCAUCAUGAUUGUGCAUUUGAUGUUAUAUUGUUGAACUAUUUGUUGUAUUUUGAACGAUAAACUAUUUGUUUGAGUUGUAAUAAACUAUUUGUUUGAGUUGUAACAAAAUUGAACUAUUUAUGUUGAUUUAUUUUAUUUGUGUUUGAUUUUUUUGCAUAGUUUUGAAUGCAUAUGUUCUUUGAGCGAUAAUGCGUGCUGCAUUUUAUAGCGUCAGCUGGUGCUAGGCGCGCGUGCUGCAUUUUACAGCGCCUGCUGUAACCAGCAAUGGCCGCCGCGUCAAAACAGACAAAGGGCGCGCCGCAAAUUCAAUUUUAAUGCGCCGCGCGUUGGGCGGCUGUUGGAGAUGCUCUACGGUGUAAAGACAUCGGUAAUCUCCAUGUCCCUUGAAACAAAUAAUGAUAAUUUCUAUGAAUGCCUUCAUAUUAUUUCGCUUGAAACAUGUAAGGAAAAAUGCAAUUGUAUUUUAGUGGUUUUGGUUAAAGUAUGUUAAGAUCUAUAAUGCACUCUUUUCCUCACUAUUUCGCAGCUACACUAUUUAUCCUCUCUAUUUUAGAGGCUUUUCCUGAAGGGAAAGGACCUCUCUCAUAUAUUCUACCCAUAUGUCUGUCUUCAACUACUCUAGGACUAUUCUUCCCACAUGGAUCCUCCUUUUAGAAUGCUUUCUCUCCUCUCCCUCUCUCUAUUGACAAGUACUAUAGCUACUUUACGGUGAGCAUGCUUAUGCAUAUAUAUACACAACCAUCGCCUCUAGACAUGCACUCAGUUCAGUCAAAUACUAUAUAUGUGGCAGGUGAGUAAGAUGUACGUAGAAUAGUACACAUUAGUAGAAAAUGGAUCUUUCGACCAAAGCCGAAAACCACAUUAACUCCGGUUCAAACAAAAACCGGGACCAAUGUCUAGUUCGAUUCAUCUCAUUAGUCUCGAUUCGGGGAAAAACUGGGACUAAAGAUUCAACGACUAUCACGUGGCGUGCCGUGGAGCAUUAGUCCCGGUUUUUGUCAGAACCGAGACUAGUCAUUCAGUUGUUGCUUUAUUCAUUCUCCCUUGUACACGUUAGUCGAUAAUUUGGCAUGGAAGGUAUUAGGAUGCACGAAGGUGCUGGAGGAACGUAUGUUCGAAAACCAACAAAAGUGGUGCUAAGCUCCCUGGAGGCCAUUUCCAUGGCUAAUACAUGGUUAAUUGCCAUGCUGCAAAUCAUCCUGUUCCAUGGUCUUCCUCGCCAUCCGGGCCCACUAGAGCUAUAGCUGCUCCCCGGCGUGGUACAGUGACGCUGCUCCGGAAUACCAGCGCCGCCGAUGCACCCACUUACAUGGCAGCUGCAUGAACCUGGCACUGAUGUAGGUUUUUUGCAUUGUAGUGCUAGGCUGCUAGCUGACUGUGAUGUGUGUGCACAUCAAUUCACUCGUGUACAGCCAAGCUGAGGGCGAUCAGACUUGUCCUUGCGGCUAUUGAUUAAGGUUGGACACUAAAUAACAUUUUUAUAACAUUUAACAUGUAAAAUAGCAUCAUAUUCAUGUACUACACAUUUUUUUAAUCAAAUUUCAUAUAUAACAUGUUAAAAUUGGAUUUAAGGUUUAAAAAAUAUAAAUAUUUUCAACAGGUAUUAUUUGUUCUAGAUGGACUGCAUGUUAAUUAGAGAAAUGAGAUGAGGUUUUCCGCAAAAAGGCAAAAAUGAUUCUUUUUAAAGGUUGGAUGCGAGUUAUUUACCCGAAAAAGAGGAGGAUUUACUGUAAAAGAUGGAAAAAGGGUUCGUUUUGUCACCUAAACGUGAAUGACGGGUUAAUUACCUGAAAAUAGAGGGAAUAUUCUGUAAACAUGUGCGACGUACCACCAGAAGCACUAAUGACUUUAUUAUUAGAUCAAGAUAUCUUUGCAAUAGAACUCAGAUGCUUGGCUGAUGAGCAAUUUUGGAAACAAUGAACAACAAGCUGCGAGGCUUGACCGUACCUUUCUUUUCAAACUAAAAUAAUACUAACAAGCUUUGUAACCGAAAGUACAUGCAACCUAUAGUGCAUUUGUUGUCGUAGUAGUAGCCAAAUAAUUUGUAGUUUGUUUGGUAUACGGUUUAGAUACAAGGGUAAUCUCCAUGUCCCUGCAAGCAAAUAAUGAUAAUUUCUAUGAAUGUCUAUAUAUAAGAAAAAGAGCAAUUGCAUUUUAGUGGUUUUUGGUUAAAGUAUAUAUGUGAAAAUCUAUAAUCCACUCUUUUCCUCACUCUUGUGCAGCUAUACUAUUUAUCCUCUUUUUUUAUAGGGUUUUCCUGAAGGGAAGGGAUCUCUCCCGUUUAUUGUACCCAUUUUUGUCUCUUCAACUACUCUAGGACUAUUCUUCACAUAUGGAUCCUCCUUUUUAUAGACUGCUUUCUCUCCUCCCUAUCUAUUGACAAAUACUAUACCUACUUUACUGUGAGCUUAGAUAUGCAUAUAUACACAGUUACACACAACAUAGUCUGUAGGCAUGCACUCAGUCCAAUCAAAUACUAUAUAUGUGGUAGUUGAGUAAGAUGAGUAUAUGAUAGUAAUCGUUUAGUUGUUGCUUUAUUCAUUCUCCCUUGUACGCGUUAGUCGAUAAUUUGGUAUGGAAGGUAUCAGGAUGCACAAAGGUGCUAGAGAAGCUAGAGGAACUUAUGUCGGAGAACAAACAAAAAUGGUGCUAUGCUGCCUAGAGACCAUUUGCAUGGCUAAUGCAUGGUUAAUUGCCAUGUCCUCACUCACACACUGUUCAAAACCCAAAAACAGAUAUUUCUGUCCUGCUCAACCUUUGGUUUCUAGGACUUAAGGUGCCACGCGGCACCGCCUUCGGACUGGGCUGCAGUUUUUGAGCGGUAACGCUAAGCUUACCGGUGUUAUUGUUACGAGUUAAUUUUACAGCAGGUUGACCAGUCCACUCUUUGUGGCUGCAAAUCUUCCCGUUCCGUGGUCUUCCUUGCCGGCAAGACCAACUUGAUCUGUGCUUCUGGAUACCAUCGCCGCCGACACACCCAUUUACAAUGCAGCUGCGUGAACCAGGACGACCAAGAAGAAGAAUCGAGUUGUGUAGCCUGAGUGCCUGAUAAUGAUGUACUCCCUCCGUCCGAAAAUACUGUUUACAUGAAUGGAUGCAUCUACAUCUAUUUUAGUUCGAAAUACUUUCAUUGUUUCUAAAUGUGUGCGACAAAUAAUUUCGGCGGAGGGCGUAUAUUUUUGGCAUUGCUAGCUGACUGUGCUCUAUGUGCACAACACUUCACUUGUGCAUAUCCAAGCUGAUGGCGUUCAGACUCGUCGUUGCGGCUCUCAUGGCAACACCCACAAUGCUGCGCUACUCACUCAUUGUUAACCAUUAACCAAGCUACUCACUCCACUCAAUGACAACUAAUAUUUGGCUCACGUGAAAUCUUGAUACGGCUGUUGGAAGAGUAAACAGUGGUUGUUCGCACUCACAAACCUGCGGGUGUCUCAAGUUCAUGCCGGUAUAUUCUUUUUUUUCAGAAAAUGCUGGUAUAUUCCUUUUUUUUUAGAAAAUGCCGGUAUAUUCUUAUGUACUGAACAUUUGCAUUUUCGCAUCAUGUAUGCCUACAUUAUGUUACCUUCAUCUAGUAAACAUGCAACAUUACUGUUUCAUGAUCGAUAUCUUGUCACUUUUUGUUAUCAAGGUCUGCAGGUCACAUUUGAGCAUUGCGCACCUUUGAAUACUGGGAGUCAUAAAAGAUUUUUUGUUAGUGAAUGUUGCCAGUACAUUUGCAUUCAUCAAAGGCGCCUUUGUCUAGUUAAUCUUCUUAGGUUAAUGAAUUUGGCUUGAUCGAUUGAUAAGGUAGCACGGCACACAGAAACGAGGGUCGGCCCUAACAUGUGGAACUAAGUUAGUCCCACGUACAAAUUAACAACACAACCUAACAGAUGAAAUUGAGCUAUUUCCUGGUCCUCCCACUGAGAUCUGCCUGGAAUCAGAAGUCCUGUUAUUUUGGUAGCACAGAUCAUGCUCAAUAAAAAAUUGAGGCCCACUACACAAGCCGUUAUAAUAAAUCUGCAAUUUGUGUUGUGCCGUGAUUCAUUCAGUUUUUCAAGGUAACUUUGGAUCAGUCACUUUCCACAUUUAUAAAUUGUGUUGUGCCAUCAUUCAUUCAGUUUUUCAAGGUAUCUUUGGAUCAGUCAAUUUCCACAUUUAUAAUAAAUCUGCAAUUUGUGUUGUGCCGUCAUUCAUACAGUUUUUCAAUGUAACUUUGGAUCAGUCAAUUUCCACAUUUUCUGGAUCUAGUUUCAAAAGCACCGGACAACGUGUUAUAGAUUAUUGGGCUGCAAAAUCCGCACUAAUCUUUUUUUAUCUCAAUACACAUUUGCCUAUAGAACGGACACAUGCCCAAUUUUGUAUGCGCUUUGUAGGUUAUCCAAAUGGUUCCUUGAAUGAACAGGUUGCUCAAACUGAAAAAGAUAUGGAGUUGUCUUGCAUCUUACUCCGUAUUAAGUUCUUGUAACUGGAUAAGAUGAAGAGAUACUUCAUUAUAUUGUCCUCACAGUACACUUGAUCGUGGAUGCUAGUAGCCAGUGGUGUGUUUUUGAAAAUCAAGUAAUUAUCUAUUCCAACGAAAAGUGUCUGGAGUAGCUUUGUUUCCGCGAAAAGUUACCUUGCUGAUUUGAAUUAAUCGUAACAGUUUUAACAUGCUCCCUCCUACUCCUUCUGCUCACAUCAGAGGUAAGAAUAUAUAAUUGAUCUGAACCGUUGGUCUCAUUAAUUAGUGGUCUUAUUUACUCUUACUUUCUUACCUGCACUACAAUUUUAUCUACAGAAAUUUCACGUCCACGAGUAGGGGAAAACUUGCACGUCGACUCUGAGAUAGUUGCAUAUUGACAGCUAGGCAAUUGCACAAAAGAGGGAGUAAAUUGCAUACACAAAAAAUCGUCGAAACAUACUCAUGAGGGAUCUACUUUCGAAGAGCGCGUCGUGAGGAUUUCAACGGUAAAAACGGCUCUGAAUUUUGAUGAUCGGUUCAAAAGUAAUGGCUUUUGAAAAUUUCUAAAUCCAAAUUAAAUGCGUUCACACAUGUUCUCAUGGAUACCUUCUUACUUUUCUCCUGUCCACGUAAGGGCAUAUACAAUGCAUAGCCUCAAGGUGAUGUCCUGUAUGCCAUGUAGAAUCGGAUGUCAGAAAAAGUAGGUUCGGACAAGGAAACGGGAUCCUAUGCAGGAGACGGGUGCUUGAAGCAAAAAAGUGUGGUUCGGUGUAAAAAACUGAAAAAGUUAGAGUAAAAGUAGGAUGCAUGUGUAUUAAAAUCUUUAUUUUUUAUUUUUUGACAAGGCAAUCUGAUGGUAGCUUGCAUUGGAGAAAAAAAGUCAAUAUAUAUACUUCAAGCUACUUUUUAUCAUGAGGCAUAUGUAUUCAUAUGUCAUCAUUAUACAUGCCCUAAUACUUUUUCUGAUGUGGAUAAUGGGAGACAAAAAGUCUCCAUAUACGGCCGGCCACUCUGAAUUUCUAACAAGCCUACGAUCAUGCGUUAGACGUGUCCAUAGAUCCUUGUCCUUGAUCUCAUUAAUUAGUGGUCUUAUUUACUCUUAGCUUCUUACCUGCACUACAAUUUUAUCUACAUAAGUUUCAUCAUGUCGAAGACAGUCCUUAAGUCUAAUGCCCCGUCCGGGCACAUUAUAACCAAAAUGCAUGUGAUGGCUAGAACCACAACAAAUCAAUGGACCGUAUUUCCGUGCACAUUUCGUUUCGUCCCUAAGGAUGAACCAAAAGGCAGUGCUGGACAGUUGACCCACCCUGCACAUGGGGCUUGCAUGUCUCCAUGAUCUCCUAUACUCUGGUAAGCUUUUCUAUUCAUGUAGAAAACCAAUCAUUGGAAAGAAAAUGAAUAUAACAGACAAAUGCUUGGUUUUUAGCUUAUCCUGUCUGCAUCAACCGUCAACAUGGGAUAGAAUACGCUGGUUCCAAAGAGGUGGCCAGUGAUAAUGUUGCUAACUAGAGAUGGUAAUGUGCUUCCGCACUAGUUGAAAAUGACUGCCCAAAAGCCCCAAGUGGAAAGGCGAAAGCUCCAAGAGCUUUAAUACGAAAUCAAACACGCAGCGGCGUUUCCUUGACGCGAUAAGGUGUCGAGUCUGUCUAUCAGGAAUUGUUGCUUAUUCCGAAAGGCCGGCCGUUGAAUUGAUCAUGCUAUUAUGGGUCUAUAUAAUACUACUCCAUGUUCUUGCUCUAUUGGGGAAAGGCAUGUAUCCGUCCUUUGGCUCAAUGUUGAGCCGUUUGACUUUGGUUCGCCGAACAAGUUUGAAGAAUUAACGACCGAGUCAUCUGCCGCGUCGGCUUGCUAUUUUCUUCUUUUGGAGUUUCCAAUCACCACUACACGUCUACAUGUACCAGACGCAGGUGACCGGGCGGACCCUGGAACGUUGCCGCUGACCAGUAGCGCUCGAUGGCCACCAGACACGCGAUCAGCAGGCCUGCCCACCGCUGCGCGGCAGUUUCCCGGCCUCCGUUGCCGGCGCGUGCGCGUGGACGACACGGCCGGCAAUGCCAUGCAUGCCCGUGUGUGCAUUCGCGAACCGCGUAGACACGGCUGGCAAUAACUAAUGAUUCGCGUCUACGCUGUUGACACCAUUUGCGUUGUUGGCAAACGUUGAUUAACCAUCUUUUGCGUCCUCCUGUUCACAUCGGUGAUUUCGUCCCGAGGGCUGCGUAGCUGUGGGCCUCCCUGGCGUCUCCUCCUUGUCGGGCGUUCGCAUCGCCGGACAGGGCUCGAGGUAGGUGGCGACUCGGAUCUGGGUUCCGACGGCUUUGUCGCAAGCAGCUAUGACGGAUGGGGAUGGGGCCUCUAGCUAGGGCUGCAGCUGCCAAGGCGGCGACAGUAGCGGUGGUGAUGGCUCAUAUGCGACAGGUCACAGGGUUUUCCAUUGGCACGGCCGUGCUCGAUCACGUUCGUGGUCGGGCCCUCUUUGUUGUUCAAUACUGUACAAUGUCCAUAUGAGUUGCCUAUCGUGAUUAUCUGACUAUGAUGAGUUUUUUUUUUUUUUGAGUUCAUAUUGUGUUGAUACCUCAUGAAGUUUCACGUAUAGAUGCAUCAUUGUCUGAACUUAUUUAUCUUCUAUUGACAAAUUAAAUGGAUAAUCAAUAGUGGAGAGCGUGUGCAUUAGUUGGAUUCAAUCUUAUGAAUAAUCUACCGUGGUGAAAGUUACUGAAAAAGGCAUGAUUUGUAUUUGCCACUAAAAAUGACUGUUUGUUUGAGGCGUUUUGAAUCUUUUUUGGGCUCUCUGAGGCCUUUAAUAAAAUUAGGCAAUCAACAAUUUGUUGAAUUAUNCAAUUGCUUAAGAAAACUAUUCAUAUUAUAAUUAAUACUAGUACUAGUAGAAAAAUGUCCAUUUGUCCCGGUUCCAGAGGCCCAUUAGCCCCGAUUCUCGAACCGGGACUAAAGGGUCGGGACUAAAGGCCCAAACCUUUAGUCCCGGUUGGCUUACGAACCGGGCCCAAAGGGUCUCCACGUGGUCGCUCCGGGGAGCCCAGGUAGGAGGGCCUUUAGUCCCGCUUGUUCACACCAACCGGGACCAAAUGGCAUCCACACGUCAGCAUGUGGCCGCAGCUGGGUUUUUUUUUUGAAUGGGGGGUUGGUUUUUUUUGGAGAGUUAAUUUAACGGUUUCAUAUUAUGUUAGCUACCUAAUAGAGAGAAGUGUCCACUACUAGGGAAAAGCCUAGCAGUAGCGCGGGUUACCGCGCUACUAGUAAGGCGCUAUAACUAUUACUUACGCGCUACUGCUAAUUAGACAUAUAGUUGUACCGUGUAUUAUAUCAGCGCUACAGAUAAGACAACUAUUAGUAGCGUUCUUGCAAACCCGCGCUACUAGUAAUCUGUUUUUCAUUAUUAUUAUUUUUAGUGUAUUUAUACGUCGUUAUACAAAUUUUGAUACAGUACCAAUUAAAAGGUUGUUAUAUCAUUAUGUUCAUCAUGAAUUAUUAUAUCAUUGUAAGGAAGAAAGAUGGAUUUUAUUCAUCCAAAUGAAUCAAAAGUGAUCAAAAGUUGAACGAUCCUACUAAUUCAAAUUUUGGACACUUUCGAUCCAUCCACAUGAAUCUAAUCCGCUUUUCUUCCCCUAAUGAUAUAAUAACCAAUCAUGAUCAUAAUAACAAAUCAUCAUGAUAAUCAUGAUCAACAUCAUCAUCAUAUUAAUAUAAAAACUCUUGCAUCACUAUAGCUAACAAUCAUCAUAGUCAUUACCACCAACACUAUUUAAUCAUCAUUUUCGUCAAUGAGACAUCAUAUAACAAAAGUUGGCCACUAGUCAUAAUCACAACUCCUCCUCCUCAUCAUCAUCAACUAUAACACAUUGUAGCACAUAAUAUAUAACACAUUGUACCUAGGAUCUACUCAUCUCUCAUAGGACCUACUCUACCCUCUCUUAGGUAGAAUAUCAUAAAACAAGAUAGGCUCUGACUCUUCAUUAUGGAGAAUAGAGAUCAUCUUGUCUCCAAUUCUUGGCAUACGCACAAUGUUGCUUCCAAGUAGCUCUCUACGAUUGACCAUACAUUUUUUCAAUAUUUGAUUGUCAUUUCAUCGGUUUUAGAAAUCCGGUAUGGACAUGAGUGAUGCAGAUACCUAGGCUGACCUGACCGUGCUGGCCGUAUGCUCAUAACAUCAACGCGACCUCUUGAAAACAUCAGAUGAGGCCCACAAUCAUGCGGGAUUUUCUGUUGAAAAACAUAGUAAUAACUUUGUUAGCUAGCAAUGUAGUUUAGUUUUACACGAAUUUAUGCAAAAGAUGCACGGAUGUCGUAAUAGUAGAAAAACUUACCAUGCAAUCUCCAUGCAUGUUAUCGUAGUUCACCACGUGCACUAGUGGUACGUAGUGACCAUAAUGUGGAGGAUUUUGCUGAUAGGUAUUGUAAUUCUCAAGAUCAUUGAUAAAUGUGACAAGAUGAUGUUUCUCCUUACAAGUUAAUUGUGCUUCAUCAUUGUAGUAAUAGGUUCUGUCUACCAUCUUCCGUACAUUUUUUGAAGAUUGAAAUUAAGCUGCCAAUGGAAAUAAGUUGUCAACUAUUUUUAAAUAAACAAUAUAAAUUACUUAAUAAAUAUGGUUGAGAAACUUACAUAAUGAUAGAACUGGAGGCGUCCGCACAUCGACCUAGAUAUCGGUAUUACCUUCAAUUUCAUCUUCCGGACGAAUAUCAAAGGUGAUAAGCAUGUUAGGCUCAAAUACAUAAGCCUUGCAUAACGUAUAGAUGCAUUAUUGUCUGAACAUAUUUAUCUUCUAUUGCCAAAUUAAAUGGAUAAUCAAUAGUGGGAGAGCAUGUGCAUUAGUUGGAUUCAAUCUUAUGAAUAAUCUACCAUGGUGAAAGUUACUGGAAAAGGCAUGAUUUGUAUUUGCCACUAAAAAUGACUGUUUGUCUGAGGCGUUUUAAAACUUUUUAGGGGUGUAUGAGGCCUUUAAUAAAAUUAGGCUAUCGACAAUUUGUUGAAUUAUGGGGUGGGCUUUAGUAGGGGGUGGGGGUGGGGAGGGGGGCUUGAAGUUUAGUCCCACCCUAGUCGAGAAGGAGUUGGACAUUCUUAUAAGGCUUCUCUUCCACAUGCUAUUGAAGCUUGAGAAGAGAAGUGGUCCGCGCAUACUCCGCCGCCUCCGAGCCGCGGGUUGCGUCGUCGUUAUCGUCAUCAUGGCCACCGACGCCGAUCAUGCCGCCACCGAGAAACUCGAAGCCGGCAAGAAGGCUGCCUCUACCAUUGCUACGGCCAACUGGCCGACUAGAGGGUAUACCACGUUUAUCCCGCUUCUGUUUAUUUUGGUUUUAGCCAUACUGACGUUAUACAUAGAUGUAUCUGUUGUUAGCGUAGUGUGUGCUUGCAUGAUCAAAUAUCAGCAUGCUUUUAACCCUGUUGGUGUCAUGCUCAUCACUAUUUCAUGGGUUAAAUUAAUCAAGAAAUUACUAUUAUAUUCAACACAAUUGCUUAAGAAAACCAUUCAUUUUAUAAUUAAUACUAGGAUGAUGCUGAGAGAAUCUUGGUCGAAUGACGGGUCUAUAGAUUUAUGGCUAUGACCCGUGAUUUCUUCUAUUGACCAAGACCAUCCCAUGCCUUAGUGUUGUUGGGGGCACUAGUAGAGUUUUAUUUGUAUUAUUGUAGAACUUAACAUUGUUGUACGAGACUUGUGCCUCCGGGGAUUGCUAGUUUGGUUUUUCACUAAGAAGAAUUACUACUGCUUGCUACAAGCAUUUGCACUAGAGGACCAGCUAGUUUUUAGGGUACAACCUAGCAAUCAUCACUCGUGAAGGUAGGAUGCUGCCUGACGAGCGCCACAACUUCAUUUGUGUGACUCAAACUCCGGAGCGACCCUAGAACACACCCGUCACCCCUACGUUGGUGGUCAUGACCCUUGUGGCCAAGGCAUCUCCUCGCUCGACUGUGCCUCACUCAGCGCCUUCCUUAGCACUAUUCUUGAUAGAUGCUCUGCGUGAUGAGGACAUGGCCGUGCCUGCAACCAUGAAGGGCAAACGAUCGAAGGUAUCACCUUCUUCUCCAUGUAGUACAAGCUCUGGGACCAGUGAUGCAAUGGGUGAUCUCACAACUAUGGAAAAGACACACCUCUAACCAUGGCGAGGAACUUGGAAAACACAUGUAAUCGGCGGCCUGUUUUUUUUAAUCUUGAACGCAUAUUCUAUUGAAUACUUUGUUUUGAAGCAUGAAUAGUAGGGGAAGACCUACUAUAUUUUUCUAUUAAAUAAUCUAAGGGAAAAUUUGUACAAGAAUGACAUCAUUUACAAGGAAGAUUUCAAUCUCCAAAGAAGAUGAAAACAUUAAUUCAACAUCACAUAUGGUGGAUAAACAUGAAAGUAGUCGAUCUUGGUCAAAAAGCUUAACUCUAUGGGCAGCCAGACACAUGUUAUUCAUAAAAAGAGAGAAACAAUAAGCCAUUGGGUGGCUGCUUGGGUGUAUGUUGUUCCCAAAUAUUCCUAAGAACUAACGAAGUAAUCUGCAUAAGGCAAGCCCCACCAAAAAGGCUAUUAGAAUUUAGAAACAUAGAGCAUGGUGUAGACCAUCAUUGGAGGUCCAAGAAAUCCCUACACGGCCCCAACAGUAUUCCAGGCAAAUCUACAAUUGAAGAACAAAUGUUCUCUGUUUUCCCAAAGAUUUGCAUGUCAAAGAACCGAUUAUGAUGAACACUUAGGGAUAGCCUGCCCUUUUGGAUCUUUUUAUCUGGGGUAUACUAGUAAAUGUGAAUGUGCACUGCAUAUUCAUAUUUGAAGAAUAUCUUUUAGAGAUAUUUGAUAGAAUAUUAAUUACAUUUUGAUAUUAUAUAUAAAUAUAUAUCAAUUGCACCAUAAUUAUGGGAUUUUUUGCGGAUAUUGAUAUUUUGUAUAAUAUUAAUUGCAUGUUUAACAUCUUGAGAUCUCACCAUUUAAGCAAUUUAGGUCAUUCGAAUGACAUGAAUUGAUGGCGAGAUUAAUUUGAUAUGCACACUAAGUAUUUUUAUCUUGGUAUACUAGUAAAUGUGGACGUGCAAUGCACGUUCAUAUUUGGAAAAUAUAUUUCUAGAGAUAUUUGGUAGAAUAUUAAUUGCAAGUUGGUAUAAGGUUAUAUAUUAGUUGCACGUUAAAUUAUUGAUUUUUCUUUAAUAUUGAUAGUUAGUAUAAUAUUUAUUGCAUGUUAAAUAUAUUGAGCGCUCACCUCUCUGAAGCAAUUUAGGCCAUUUGGUCCAUGUGAUUUUAUUUCCGAGAUUACUUGGAUCUGCCUCUUUGGAUCUUUUAUUUGGGCAUAAUAGUAAACGCGGAUAUGCAAUGCACAUUCGUAUUUGGAAAAUAUAGUUUUAAAUAUAUUUGGUAGACUAUUAAUCGCACGUUGAUAUAAGGUUAUGUAUUUGUUAUGCGAUAAAUUAUGUAAUUUUCACUGAUAUUGAUAUUUUUUAUAAUAUUUAUUGCAUGUUAAACAUGUUGAGCGCUCGCCUUUGAACCAAUUUAGGUUGUUGAGUCCACAUGAUUUGAUGACCGAGAUUACUUGGAUCUGCCUCUUUCGAUCUUUUUUCCUGGUUAUACUACCUAGUAAAUGUGUUCAUUUUUGUUGAAUAUUUUCUUAGAUAUAUUUUGUAAAAUAUUAAUUGCACAUUGAUAUUAGGUAAUAUAAUAAUUGCAUGCAAAUUGUGGAAUUUUCACAUAUAUUAAUAUUUUGUAUAAUAAUUAUUGCGUGCUUAAUUUAGGUCGCUGGAUAGACGUAAAUUAAUGGCCGAGAUUACUUUGAUCUGUUCCUUUUAGUCUUUUUUAUCUUGCAUGCUAGUAAAUUCAUACGUGCAAUGCACAUUCAUAUUUGGAGAAUAUAUUUUUACACAUAUUUGGUAGAAUAUUAAUUGCACUAUGUUAUUAGGUAGCAUAUUAAUUACACGAUAAUUAUGAGAUUUUGGUUGAUACCGAUAUUUUGUAUAAUAUUAAUUGAAUGUUUAAUUGCGUCAUAGUUAUGGGAUUAUUCUGAUAUUGGUAUUUGCUCUACUAUUUAUUGCGUGUUAAACAUAUUAAGGACUCGCCAUUGAAGCAAUCCUAGAGUGUUUACUUGGAUGGCCACGAACUUAUGGCCGAGAAUAUUUCAAUAUGCCCCUUUGGGUCUUUUUUAUUGGUACAAUGGUAUAGGCAUAGAAAGAUAGAUGCAGCGACUAUUAUAGACUCUUUUUUCAUCCCUCAAAUUUUACAAAUUAAGAAAGGGAAAUGAUUAGUAUCUACCAGCGGAUUGCUUCUAGGCGUCAACUGCCUCAAUCGUCUACCACGUGUCCACCUUACACCUUUCUUGGAAACGACUUCAUCUUAUCCAAGAACAUGAAAAGGAUUCAAAUUUCUGCAACAACAUCUUAGUUGUAGAAUAAUUCUGCAGCAAAACCUUUGUUGCAAAAUGUUUCUGCAAAUUUUCUGACAUCUGUAAAGUUUCUUCGACAAGAUUGUUGUUGCAAGAAAAAAAUUGUACCAAGACCUUUGUUGCAAUAAAAAAAAUCCGCAACUUGAUAUAUGUCGUAAAAAAUUCUGUAACAUGACCCGUGUUUCCGCAACUCAACCUAUGUUGCAGUAGUACAUGAUGACGCCUGGCCACUCGAUUCGUAAAAUCCAACGACUUAGGUGGUGGCGGAUCUUUUUAAAUAAUCCACCGGCUGAAGCAUAACAGCUCCCACAUUAAGAAAGGCAUCAUCCUUGCGGAUAAACUUGGAAAGAAAUUAUAGUGUACCGAACGUAAAUGGACGAAGAAUAAACACUCUAAUCAAUAGUUAUAAAUCCUAGAGCGUUUAGCUUUCUAUUUUCGCGACCCUCAAAAAAAUUGUACUCUACUAAGUACUUCUCCAUAUUUUAUGGUAGUCAGAAAUGUACCCACGGUUGAUCAGCGGCUAGGAUCAAUUCAAAAUAUGCAUGCGGGUGCAUCUCAAAACUUCCGAAACCACACAAGCCCACCCCACACGUACGGCCACACCGUUGCGUAUUCUUUGUGUCUAUCUCCUUUUCCGUGCGCGCUCCAACUCUGCCGUCCGUCCCUGCCUGCCCCCAGUUCUCCACCGUCUCCUCUUCUCACCUCCAAAGAAAGGUCCGGUGGUCGCCAUCAACUCACGGCCGGGGGCGCUUAAUAUAAUCCGAUCAAACAGGAGUAUGCUAAAAGAGAAAGAAGAAACGGCGAUCGGGCACGAAACCAGCAGCCCCACUCCUUUCACGUGGCGUCAUCUCUCUUUGACCGCUACCAAUCCAGGGAGACGCCAUUUCCAAACAAAGUAUACCAGCGGAGACGCGGGGGCCGCCCCUACGCCUCAUCCCCUCCCCUCCCCUCCCCGGUUGCUAUAUAAGGUCCGUCCUCCUCCUCCUCCCGAUUUCAGAAGCCCACCCAACAUCUAACUAUCCUCCCCCACCCUCCACCAAGUUUCGUCUCUUUCAUCCACACCUCCUCCUGCUCGAGAUGGACCCCGUCGAGCGCCUCAGGACCGGCUUCGAGAAGUUCAAGACCGAGGUCUACGAGUAAGUAUUCCCAUCGUCCCGCCGCUAACCGGAACAAACCCUCCUCCUCGAUCAUGAUUUGGUCCGGUUUCCUUGAGGUUAUCUAUUUCAGUCAUCUUAACAUGAUUAUUCUCUCGCCAUGGCAGCCAGAAGCCGGAUCUCUUCGAGCCCCUCAAGGCCCACCAGUCACCCAAGGUAUACACAAAAGGAUUUCGAUUUCGUUUUUAGAUUUUUAUCGGGCCCGAACGAAAUGGACGAAAUCCGGUAUUUCGGAAAUUUUUCGGAAAAACUCGGACGAAAAGCACGAAACAAAAUUCGGAAUUUAGAACGAAAAAUGGCCGAAAUUUCUUCAAAAAGAAUUGAACGAAGCAAAACCAAAACGCACAGCAGAAUCCGAAUCACAUCUUACAAGAUGGGUCAUUCAUUGUCAACAAGCACAAAAAUAAGAUAGAAAGGAGGCCUUUCCAAGCAUGUGGUGCUUCAGCUUCAACGCUGCCUGGGCCAAGCAUUCACCUUUUUGCGGUCACGCUCCCUGCCUGGAACGAGGAGGAGCAUGGAACGAUGUGGAUGGGAAGUACGGGACCGAGGAGAAGGAUGUGGACUGCCGGUGGAGAAGGAUGGGAGGAGGCGGCGCUUCCAUGACACCUGCGUCUUGUGUCGCCAGCGGCCGCCGCCGGGCAGUAACGAGGAGUGGAGGGCCGAAUGGUUAAAAUUUAGGGUUGGAAACAUUCGAUGGAGAGUUUUAUACCAUGGGGCAGAUGUGCGACCACAGGUGGACCAUGGGCCGGGCUAGGAACUCAAAAUGGGCCGAAAUUUUUGCCCCGUUCAUAUUUGUACCGGGCAUGGACGAGAUGGACGAAUUCCGGACGAAAAAUAGAAAUCUCGGACGAAAUCCAAAACCGUGGCCUUCUAUUGCUAGCUAGCAACCAACUCCGGUCCCUUGUUCCGCCGUUCGGCGUCCGGUCCGGGGCAAACUCCGCCGCGGGUUUGCGGUGGGGGUGCCCGUAUAGCAUUUCGUGUUAAUUACGGUCAAAGUGGAGUGGAUUAAGAAAUGGAAACGGCUGCUUUGUCCUCAUUGAACGGGCCACUGCCUGCCGGCCACUUGAUACUAGGUUAUGCACUGGUAAACCAACAACCAAGAGGGGCAAUCAAUCAAUCCUCCUAGUAUGAAAUAUAAUCGUGGAUUCCCUUACCAAUUAACCACCACAUGUCAUGCGCAUCCAAGAAAUCGGAUCAUGCUUGCUGUGGUAACCCCGCCCAUGUGUGUGUGUUGUCGUGAUAUAUGAUUUGGCUUAUUGAGAUGUCCCGGUCCUUAUCUCUUUGUGGUCUUGUGGACGAUGAUGGGUAUAAAGAAAGAAUAUUGUUCUUUCUUUCUUUCCUGCUUUUCCUGCUUUCUUGUUGGAUAACUUUGAUGUUAAGAAUCUUGCAACUAGUACAAGAAGAGGCAUUUUUGUCCCUCUCUUUGAGAUUCUCCAUUGGCGUGCCUGAUAAUGCCGUGUUGGGUUGUUGAGGCCCCCUUGUUAAAAAACCGGACCAACAACCUGUCCGUGUUGAAUUUCAGGUCCCAGGCGUCUCAUAUUUUCUCCUUAGAAAAUAGCCGCCACUCUGAACUAUCACAUUUGAGCAUAUACAUAUUUUGAUAACGAUGUCCAUUAUGGAGCCUUCACCAUCUUGGCACCGGCCACGUCAGACCCCACACACAAGAACCGUGAACAGGGAAUAAAGCCAUCCAUGGCUUUGGCCCUGCCGCUCUGCAUAUAUACAUAAUUAAGCAGGCCUGCCGAACUAUGGAAGUGCUAUCAAUCUUUGGAGCAACUUGCAGACUGUGGUGGUCCUGUCUUCCAUUCUAGAUUCUAGAUAACUCGCAAAAAGUCAUGGCGAAUACAUGAUCAAGUCCUUUGUUGGGUCUACUUUCACGGGUCAUCAUCAAGUCUUCAUUAGGUUUUUUGGUCUGGGCCAGCAACGGAGGAACCUUGCCGCCACUUGCUUUGCUUGGCUUUCUGUCUUUUCGGUUCCUUGUCGCAAAAGCAAGAUUUAUUUCUGGUUUUCUCCCGCCGUGCUGGAUAAAAAGCGCGCCGGGACAGAAUGUCAAGAGUGAUAGGGUUUCUUGGCAAGAUGUCUCAGAAACGUGCACUCCACAUAUCACGCUAUCAGCAUAUUGUGCUUAUUCAUUUGUUCUACCCGGAUGGCCAAAGCAGUCAAAGCCUGAAUAGAACUGCGUUUGCUUAUCACCAACAACUAUGAAACGUCAUCGACUAAAGCAAAAAAACAAUAUGGUUGUGCAGUACAUGGUGUUCGCGUGCGCCGACUCACGCGUGUGCCCGUCGGUGACCCUGGGCCUGGAGCCCGGCGAGGCCUUCAUGGUCCGCAACAUCGCUGCCAUGGUCCCUUGCUACUGCAAGAACAAGCACACCGGCGUCGGGUCGGCCAUCGAGUACGCCGUCUGCGCCCUCAAGGUCGAGGUCAUCGUGGUGAUCGGCCACAGCCGGUGCGGCGGGAUCAAGGCCCUGCUCAACCUCAAGGAUGGCGCCGACGACACAUUGUAAGUUGGUGGAGGAAAACACGUUUCCAAUCCGAAUGGAGUUUUAUUUCGUAUGUUUCUGACCGGAGCUGCUUAUGUAUCAGCCACUUCGUCGAGGACUGGGUCAGGAUUGGCUUCCCGGCCAGGAAGAAGGUGAAGGACGAGUGCUCCGAGAUGCCAUUCGAGGACCAGUGCGGCGUCCUGGAGAAGGUUCGCACCAUUUCCCAUCUACCAUUUCGUACUUUGGACGUGAAUGAAUUGAUCAACUCGCUGACCAAGAGACGAUAUAUUUCUGAACCGUUCGUUGCAUUCCCACAGGAGGCCGUCAACGUGUCCCUCCAGAACCUCAGCACCUACCCGUUCGUCAAGGAGGGUGUGGCCAACGGAACCCUCAAGCUGGUCGGCGGCCACUACGACUUCGUCUCCGGCAAGUUCGACACAUGGGAGCUGUAAAUCAAUCNNNNNNNNNNNNNNNNNNNNNNNNNNNNNNNNNNNNNNNNNNNNNNNNNNNNNNNNNNNNNNNNNNNNNNNNNNNNNNNNNNNNNNNNNNNNNNNNNNNNNNNNNNNNNNNNNNNNNNNNNNNNNNNNNNNNNNNNNNNNNNNNNNNNNCAUUGCUCAAAUCCCAAAUAUACAUCCAUACAUGCGCACAUAUAUCAUAUCAAAGAUACCGUGGGAAUGAUGCAUCGAUGUAAACGACAUGGACCAUGCACUGCUCGUUAUUUUCCAGCAGUUGUGGACGCCGGAUGGCUAGAUGUCAAUUUUUUUGUAAUAAGGUAUCAAAUCUUCCGAUCCGGAAUUAUUGUACAAAUAUUACCGUGUGUGAUGUAUAAUUUGAUCGGCAUGUGAUCAAAAUACAUCAGAUGCAAUUUCAAUAAUAUUUCCAUCAACAGUUUACCUUCUUGUUACCUUGUGGUAUUAUGGUCUUGUUUUUACUGUGUUGUGUGGCUAGCUGUUUCAGACUUUUAUUACAUCAACAGAUGAUCAUUCUAAACCGCAUGNCUUUUAGUCCUAGUUGUCUGUGUUGUGUGGCUAGCUGUUUCAGACUUUUAUUACAUCAACAGAUGAUCGUUCUAAACCGCAUGGAUCUUCCUAAUCUGCGCAUACAUUGGCCCAUAUGGACUGUUAGNNNNNNNNNNNNNNNNNNNNNNNNNNNNNNNNNNNNNNNNNNNNNNNNNNNNNNNNNNNNNNNNNNNNNNNNNNNNNNNNNNNNNNNNNNNNNNNNNNNNNNNNNNNNNNNNNNNNNNNNNNNNNNNNNNNNNNNNNNNNNNNNNNNNNNNNNNNNNNNNNNNNNNNNNNNNNNNNNNNNNNNNNNNNNNNNNNNNNNNNNNNNNNNNNNNNNNNNNNNNNNNNNNNNNNNNAGACAAAAGGUCAAAACCUUUAGUCCUGGUUGUGUUAUUGUGGUCUUGUUUUCACUGUUGUGUGGCUAACUGUUUCAGACUUUUAUUACAUCAAUAGAUGAUCGUUCUAAACCGCAUGGAUCUUCCCGAUCUGCGCAUACAUAGGCCCAUAUGGACUGUUAGGCAGUACACACACUAGUGGAAAACGGGCCUUUAGUCUCGGUUUCAAAGGGCCUUUACUCCCGGUUUUUCAACCGGGACAAAACAAUCGAGACAAAAGGUCAAAACUUUUAGUCCUGGUUGUGUUAUGAACCGGGACUAAAGGUCCUCGAGGACCUAUAGUUUCUUUAGUUUUUUUUUAUUUUCAAAUCUUUGAAUAAUUUGACAAUUUAAUCUCUAAUCAUCCUUACUCACUCCUCUAGCAUGGAGCACUCAUUUCAAAUCAUCUAACUUCCCGGCCAGUCACUCUCUUCACUCAUUUCAAAUCGUGUAACUUCCCGACCGGUCACCGAUCCUCUCACUACUCUAGCCCGAGCACGAUUAACUUUUCGGUUCUAUCUCACUAGUUUCCAAUUCUCCAGCCCAAGCACGCUUAACAUUCCAGUUCUAGCUCCACGAGUAAGCUAUCAAUCCUAUUAACCCUUAGGUCUUGAUGUCACAUGAUUAAAUUUUUUGAAUUCCAAACAAUUAUUAAAAGACAACAAUAAUUAAUUCAAAAACUCAAAAGAACUUCAAAAAAGGCAAAAUUUUCAAAAAAACUCAAAUAAUUCUCAGAAAGCAUAAAAAAUCCAAAGAAUUAAAAUUUCAAAAUAAAAUAGGUAAUAAAAUAUUGAAUUUCAAUGAAAAUAAAAUAAGUAAUCAUAUUAUUUUAUUUAUUUUUGCCAUUUAUUCAUUUAAUAUGGCAUAAUUAAUAUCUUUAAAUCUAUAAAUCGAAAUUCAAAAAAUAAUAUAUCCAUUAUUGUCACAAAAAUGUGUGGAAUACAAAUAUGACAUCAUUUAUUUUUUUAAUGUAGAUUUGACAUCAUUUAUUUAAAAAAGUAAAAAAUACUGGCACCAAAAAAAGUAAAAAAUAUUGAUGUCACAAAGUAGUGAUUCACACAAAUAUUAAAGAAUUAAAAUUUAAACUAUUAAAAUUUGAAAACUACUGGCACUAACAGAAAGUUUAUAAUUUUUGUGACCUAAAGCAAAAAAGAAUCAUUCGAAAACUAUAAAUAUUCUAACAGUUAUUCCAAAUCUAAAAACAAAAAUUGUCUUGUUUCAAGAAACAAAACAAACCAAAAAAUAGAAAAUAGACCUUUAGUGCCGGUUGGAGCCACCAACCGGGACUAAAGGUCCCUUCCCGCGCGGAAUUUGAUCGGCCAAAAAGGAGGACCUUUAGUCCCGGUUGAUGGCUCAAACCAGGACUAAUGGGAGAACCUCUUUAGUCCCGAUUGGUGUCUCCAACCGAUACUAAAGGUUUCAUUCGUACCGGGACUAAUGCGUACCGAGCUCCGUCCGGCGUUGUGGCCGUUCGAACCGGGACUGAUGCACGCAUUAGUCCCGGUUCGGAAGUCGACCGGGACUAAUGCUCUUAUCAGGCCAGGACCAAUGCCCUAUUUUCUACUAGUAACACGGUACAUGGAUGGAUUUUUUUUAGAAGGAGGUUGAAACACUUGGCCUCUCCAUCAAUCGAUGCAUGGAUUAUUCAACAACGGUAAGAUACAUCAAACCACCAUAUUUUGAAGGCACCACUCACACUACAAACUUUGUAAUGUGGAGUUCCCUCACUCCCCAUCAUCUAGAACCGGGGUUAUCGUCUAUCUACCCGCAUGACCUAUCAUGGGCUUAUAUCCGGUGCAGCAAACGUAAAAUGUACAACACAUGUAGACAUAUCACAAGGCAUUCCAUAUUGAAUCGCUGACCCAUCUCCCGGAAGGAGUUCGGCAUCAUUCUUGUCAGGCCGAACCCAUCCAUCAAUGAUGCCACGGCAUCAAAUAGCACCACCUCACUGUGUUCAUCCAUCGAGACACACAUGUCGCUAAGACUCAGUUGCAUUACGCCGCCAAGUCCCGCCUUAAGUGAAGCGGUAGAUACAACAUCGCGCCUCCUCUUGUCCCCAACAGCCAACACCUGCUCCAAAACACUACCUCAAGUGGGUUAGCGGACCCAAAGGGACAAUCAACGCCUGAUCAGGGAGACCUAGAUCUAGGUUUCACCCGGAACAUCCGAAACGAGGUGAUGAUGAUUCCUACGCCAAGUAUACAAUACCUGAUAUGUCAUCACCCUUUGCCAUAACCGAGGUCGACAUGAUUUUCACCGACAAUCGAGGCACCCCGCACCAGAAGCAGCCCGAAUCUGUGGUGAGCUAUGCCAUGACAGUGCACGCAGCUAUCGGUACGCCGACAAGGAAAUAACAACCCUCGUCGACCCCUCAACGUGUCGUGGGCCGGCCGUAGGAAAAACCGACAACAGAUCUGGUUGGGGGCCAGAUCGAACGCCACCGCGCCCACCAUCGUUGGAGAACAUGAUUUCCUGCAAGCCAUGGAGGCUUGCCCCCCUCCCCAUAUUAGCAAGGUGCCCUCUCCGCUCCUUGUACAGAACACCCUUGGGACACGCCACAACCGCACCAGGAGGUAGUCACCGGAUGCAGACUCCCCGGCUCCUUCACGCCUAGCCUGCCGCCAACGCGGCCUCUGCCGGCGGCAAAGGUGGAUGGGAAGGGAACAUCUCAAGGAGGCCUGUAGAGGCCCUAGAUUUUGCCCUGGUGUCGUCCUGGGACGAUGCUCAGGCAAUUAGUCCCCAGNNNNNNNNNNNNNNNNNNNNNNNNNNNNNNNNNNNNNNNNNNNNNNNNNNNNNNNNNNNNNNNNNNNNNNNNNNNNNNNNNNNNNNNNNNNNNNNNNNNNNNNNNNNNNNNNNNNNNNNNNNNNNNNNNNNNNNNNNNNNNNNNNNNNNCCCCCCCCCGCACCUUCACUCUUAAAGUUUCGUUUUCCUUAAGGAGGCCUCUUGCAGCGCUAGGUCUCGCCCUGAGAUUUUUCUGUGAUAAUAGACGUCCAACCCUUUUUUUAGGAGAUAAAAUUUUUAGUUGAACUCGAGUGUUUGUAUAACUAAUAAGGACAUUAGUUUGCCCAAAAAACAUAAUCGAAAUUGCUAACACCAUUAUAAACUGACUGAAAGCUUUGUGGCCUUUCCUUGACUAAUGACAUCGACAUUGCAAAAUGACGGUGGGUGAUUUGCGUUGAUGUGGUGGAGCUAUUUAUUUUUUCCAAAAGGGGUGGCGUGUCUAAUCUAAUUUUGUUGGUGCCUCACAACUGGUACCGUAGUUCUACGGGAUUUACAGUCAUGGGAUGUCACCUUAUGUCACCAGGGGUCUGAGAACAUGAUUUACUUAGGUUCUCUCUCUAGUGGCUGGUAAUAGCUGUACUCUCGCCUUUGUUAAUUAUAUAUUGAAAAUAAGUCUGUGCAUUAACAACCCGACACGAAAGCUAGGUAUUCAGGCUGGGCUCACGCGUCGUUUUUCACCCAGGCCCCGGCUCGCCCGAAAUCGCUGAUAUUUCGCACUCCAUUCCUUCCACAAUAUAACAUGCGUUAGUUUGUGUGAAAGUCAAACAUUUAUAUGUUCGACCAAGAUUCUAGAAUAAAACACAAACCUUUCGUAAAUUGGUCAGAAUGAUAGAUCAAAAUGAUAAGAAUUUGUGAUAUUUUUUCUAGAAACUUUGUCAGACAUGCUUGAUUGCAUAUGACAAACAUGUUGGAUCUUUUGAUGUGUAUCGCGCUCGCCAUGUCAUUCAUUGCAUAGCAUGAACAUGCUAGAUCUUUUGCCGUACCUUUGAGAUUGCAUGUGUUCUAGUGUUCUUUUUCGUUCUUUACGAAUAAGGCUCGGAGAUAAUGUGAGACAUGCCAAGGCUUGCUCUUCUAGCAAGCGUGAAUAAUAUGCUAGGAUGAUAACUACACUGGAUACUUGAUAUAGCUUUACUUGCAAUAGUUCCACAUGUUGUCUCCUGUAAGGGUUGUUGCUGAGUCAGCUUUUUUGCAUAUGAUGUUCUUGGGGGAUAUUCAAAUACAUUGACGGACCUAGAGAGUAUUUUGAGUGGGGGUAAAUUAUUUGAGUGGGAACAUGUUCUUUAAAAAGUCAACGAAUUUAAGCAUAUUUUUCAAAAACCACAAGCAAAUAUUGCUGCAGUUUCAAAAUUUGAGUGGGGGCCUUGGCCCCCACUCACCACAACGUAGGUCCGCCCCUGUUCAAAUACUUAUGUUACGCUUUUUAGUUAAUGUUGAGAUAUAUUGCUUGAAUGUCAGGAAAGGCUGAAGGUGGGAGGCUAUGCUUGCGCCUCAGUGUUUUGUUCCACUUAGGUAGCCCUAGGACCCAUGUUCUUGUUGUCCUGAACCAGGACUGAGCACACUAACCUACGUGGCUAAUUUAUGGGGUCCCUCGGCCAAUUCCCAUGGCUGCACACUGUCUAGGAGCCACAACACUGGUACUAUAUUGCUUCUUCCAUUCGGAUCCAGUAGGUGGCUACCCUCAGUUCGGAUACAACUCUUGGUGGUUCGCAAUUGUGGUUUAAGAGGUGGGUGUCCCAAAUUAUGGGCGCCGAUUUUGACCAUGUCCCACUCACGGUUGAUGCCGACACAGAGUUGCGGUCGGAUUAUGGGUUGGAUGUCGAGUUGCCUGGUGGCUUCCUGGAGUAGGAUGUNNNNNNNNNNNNNNNNNNNNNNNNNNNNNNNNNNNNNNNNNNNNNNNNNNNNNNNNNNNNNNNNNNNNNNNNNNNNNNNNNNNNNNNNNNNNNNNNNNNNNNNNNNNNNNNNNNNNNNNNNNNNNNNNNNNNNNNNNNNNNNNNNNNNNNNNNNNNNNNNNNNNNNNNNNNNNNNNNNNNNNNNNNNNNNNNNNNNNNNNNNNNNNNNNNNNNNNNNNNNNNNNNNNNNNNNNNNNNNNNNNNNNNNNNNNNNNNNNNNNNNNNNNNNNNNNNNNNNNNNNNNNNNNNNNNNNNNNNNNNNNNNNNNNNNNNNNNCUGGAGUCUAUUGGAAGCGUUGUCGGGUCUAUUGGAGCAAGCGUUGUCGGGUCAUUUGGAUCUACCGAUGUUGCAUUUGGGCAUGCCUAUAAUGGGUUGUACCUUGUUUCAAUGGAAGCAAGUAUGGAGCCUACAACGGGUGUGUUGGUGAACCCUUGGUUAAAUCUUUUUGAGAAGACGUAACCACGGUUAUCGAGGACUUGGCGAUUGAUCUUUGUUCACAGAAAAAUUUCAACAUAUAAUAUUUAAAAAGUUGGCAACCUCUAAUAUUGUUAGUAAUAGAGCUUGUGCAAGUUCAACUAUUAAACAAUAAAACUUGCCAAUUAUAAGCCUUGGGGAUUCUUCUUUGUGGUGGUGCGAACAUGAAUGCAAGACUAUGUUAUUUUUGCAAUAUGAUAAUUUAUAGUCGCUCAAUUUGAGGGCAACCUGUGGGGUUGCAUUGCACCACGAUUACCGUAGGAGAUUCUCGUGUGCUCCCUUUCCUUAUCUUCGUUAGACGUUAGUUGUAGCGGGUCGCAUAGGUGCUUGCAGCUGCUUCACCACUUAUCCAUUUUCAUACCUACGCCUUAGUUAAUAGCGGGCACCCAGUGUAAUAAUAUUUGUGGAGUACACCAUGUACUCACCUUGCUAUAGUAAACACUUACCUGUACGGUCAUGGAUGAAGUUGGCUCAUUAUGCCACAAAGAGCUGUUUGGGCAAGGAUGUACGCCACUUGCUUUUAUUUUAUCAUCUUGAUGGCAUUUUUAUUUCUUACCUAUCUAAGCUGUAUGGGGUUCCACUGUAUGAGUUGGAUUUUGGUCGAAAGACCCUUGUUGUACUAAUUGUUGUUUAUGUAUUGUGUUAUUGUAAUUUUGGAUUAUUUUGUUUUCUGUUUUGUGAUAUCAAUUGAUUCACCUGAUAUGCACGUUUCGACGUGUUUGGUAUGUGAAUUUUUAGUGUCCUUGGGAUUGAUUCUCUGUGAAGUCUACGCGAGAUGUCUAGAUCUGUAUAAUGUUAGUACCAGGGUGCUACAACAGCCAUGCACACCAAGUGUGUACAUGAAUUGACCCGGUGUUAGGCCCUUCCGGAAAUUUUGUCCAACGAUGAAGAGGGAGAUAUGUGUACUGCAUGUUGCAGAAAAAGAAGAAAAAGAAGAAGAAGAAGUGUUGUGUCUGUACAGUCUGGGUGCUCACUCUUUAGUGGUUUGUUUAUGUGUUAAUUUUGCUUGUUUAGUCAGAAAACGAUGUGCCAUUUCCAAUGUUUAAUGUCUACGUUUAUACUAUCACAAAAUAUCUCGCUCCAUGCGAAUCGCAAAUCACUUUCCGGUGGAGUGGUUAGCUGGUGCACCCGCGUAGUUGAGGUCUCAAGCUUGAACACAGUGAUUCCUUUGAUUACGAUAAAUCUGACGAGCCGUUUUGCUAAAAUGAAUCCACGGGAGAGCUCCACUAUAUAUGGGACCAUAUGUGUUACGAAUUGGUGUAUAGCAGAAUCGUAUUGGAACAUUUUCUAAGUCACGAAAAGAUAGAACUUCAACGUAUAACCUUGGUGUUGUUGUUCACUAGAUUUCUUAUUGCCCCUCCAUUUCUAACAUGUACUUUUUUUACAACCAUUAAUUUAACCCACUCAUUGUAUUGUGAUCGGGUUUCAAUGCUACCACCUAAAUUUCAACACAUGUCCAUCUCCUUCUUUCUUUAUUUAUACAAAGCAUUCUUUCUUUCCACCCUUGAAGUGCAAGCACACCACUCCUGACUUGGUACGAGAGGAUAUAAGGAUACUUACUGAUCUCUCAAAUACCCCAACUCGGCACGAGAGGCAUCAGGACAAGACAACGUGAAACAAGGCUUGGUACUGCAAGAAUCAAGUAAUUUUUCUUCUAAAAUGUUCUCGGGCAAAUCCGUGCUAGUUCUUCUUAUCGUCCUUGGAGGUCUAUAGGAACAGCCUCAUCAGUAUUCUACUCACCACCAUCUUACACUCAUUCGUGGUGAAGGAACAUAUGGUGAUUUGUUAGAGUAGUUCCUACUCCAUCGGUCAUGUCUAGGUUCUGGAAGUAGAGGCCGAGAGGAGUUGGAUUGUUGCGAUCAGUAUCAUUUCAACGGGCAUUUUACAUAUAAAAAAUGAAUUCUCAGAAUUCUGGGUGAACCAUGGUACGCCCACUAUGGGGGUCAUAUCCUCAUUAUAAAAAUAAAUAAUUCAAAAUAUUUUAUAGUGCAAAACAUUUAAUUAAUUAACGAUGUGUUUAUGCCACUUGCUUUAUCUAGGCAAACAAAAUAAA